ACUGUACGGGAGGCAGCAGUGGGGAAUUUUGGACAAUGGGCGCAAGCCUGAUCCAGCCAUUCCGCGUGCAGGAUGAAGGCCCUCGGGUUGUAAACUGCUUUUGUACAGAACGAAAAAGGCCUGGCUAAUAUCUGGGUCUCAUGACGGUACUGUAAGAAUAAGCACCGGCUAACUACGUGCCAGCAGCCGCGGUAAUCAGU
rnacentral:rRNA from 1 species